GAUGAAGAACGUAGCGAAAUGCGAUAAGUAGUGUGAAUUGCAGAAUUCAGUGAAUCAUCGAAUCUUUGAACGCACCUUGCACCCUUUGGCAUUCUGAAGGGUAUGCUCGUUUGAGUGUCAUUGUACUCUCACACUCCCGAUCUUUGCAUUGGGAGCAGUGGACUUGGGUUUGCUGCUUCACCGUCGCUUACCUCAAAUAGGUUAGUGCAACUCUUGGUUGGACAUAGUACGGCGUGAUAAGUGUUCUUCGCCGGUGCCUCGCAAAGAGGGUGGCCGAUCGGGAUGUUGUGCUCCAAACCGUCUUCGGACAAUCUCUGACGACUUGACCUCAAAUCGAGUAAGACUACCCGCUGAACUUAAGCAUAUCAAUAAGCGGAGGA
rnacentral:misc_RNA from 1 species